AAAAGAUCUGUAAUUUAGGAUCCAAUAUCAGUUUUAUUUUCAAAACCUAUAAAGUGAAAAGAUGAAGGUACAAACUAUCAUUUCAGCUCUUCUCCUCUGUGUCGUGGUCUUGUCAUCUGUUCCAGAGACCGAGGGAUUCUUCUUAGGAAACUUUUGGUGCAAUAUGUAUGCACCAAGUCAAUGUACUACUCCUGGAAAAGUAUUUACAAUAACCGUUGGAAAUUGGUUUUGGAC
rnacentral:lncRNA from 1 species